CAUUCUUUUUCAACCUGAGUCAGGUAGUCCCACCGUGUGUUUUCUGCUUUCUUUCUACAUAAGAUAAGAACAGUAUCUGUCUUGACCUGGAAGAAGAGCAGAGUAAGUACAACUUAGAACACACGGAGGUAAAUAAGCAUGAUUAUAUGGAAAACAUUUACUCAGUCAAGUUACUAUUAUGUGUAGGACCUGUCUUGGGUUGUAGUAGUACAUUUACAAAUAGGACUCAUGAAAGAGAAAGAGCAUAAACAAGUAAAAUUCAAAUAUAUUGAAGAUAAAAAGGGGUUAAUGGGGUUUGGAAGAAGAACUUUAUUAGGAAAGGCCUCUGAGGUGAAACCUGAGCUGUGGCCCAAGAUCCAGAAGGGCACAGCAAGGAGUAAGGCUAUCAAAGGCUAUAAAAUGGGAUAAUUUUGGUGUCUAAUUAAAAAAAAAGUGUGGUGGGAAUUUGGUGACUGAAGGAAGAGAAUAAUACAGUAAGAGUGAUCAGAGACAGGCACAAAUAAAAAUAAUAUACAACUCUUUCAACAAUGAUCCAUAUAAUUCCUAGGAUUCUUUUGAGUAUUUGUUCAACUCUGGGAUUGAUGGAUAAAGGAGGAGCAGUGAGACACAAGCUAAUUCAUGUUACAUUCCAAUACUGCCUUUAAACUGCUACGGAACAAUGUAAACACAGAUGGCAGAAUGGUACAACGGCACAUCUAUGCAUAGAUGCAUUAAACCUCACUGAAGUAGAAAGGAGAUUAUCUGAGUUAGUGAAAAGUGUGAACGGUAGUUUAAAAAGCCAUUUAUUUUUAUAGGUUUUACUACUUCUACUUAGGCUAAGUGCUUAAUUAAAUCCCUUUAUGUUAUCAAAAAUUCAGAUAGUUUUCUGAGAACAGCUACCAUUAAUUUAAGUACUUUAUACAUAUUCCCUUUCAGUAUAUAAUUUCAACUUUGUAAAAUUAACUAUUUCCAUUGUACAAAUGAGGAAACUGAGGCUCAGAAUGCUUAAGUGAGCUGCUAAAAAGUCACAACUAGUAAGUGACAAAAAUGACAUGAAAACUCAAGUCUCUUAACCAAUUUUGAAAGUUUAUUCCCUUCUUGAUUCUAAUGCAAUAUUUUUAUAAUAAUCUAUUCUUCUAAAGACAGGAGUUGAAAUAGAGCCAGACAGUUAUUUUAGGUUUCUCUCACACAGCUACUUAAUUCUGGCAUUACAGCGCAAUCAAAGGCAAAGACAACACAAAAAAUGAGCCCUGGCAUUGUUCCAGUAAUACAGCCAUCAGACUACAGUUUGCUGAUCCCUGUUACAGAGGAUAAAUUCUAGUUCCUCUCAAUUCUAAAUCAACCAGGUUCAACUUAAUGAAGUUUCACAACAUAAUGACAAAAAAAAGCAAACUUACUUUUUUUGAACUGCCUUCCACAGAGAUGGGUUUUAAAAGAUUGUUCACAAUCAUGGAGUAACUCUUCCCAUUUAGAUUCUUUACCAAAAGAUCAAAUGACCUAUAAUACAAUAGUGAAUACAUUAUCCCUGGCUCUAUAAGACAUGCUCUAUAACUCUUGUGGAAAAAAGCCACAAGUUUUAUUUUAGGAUGUUCAAUUGGCCAUCCCUGGUGGUAAGAUUAGGCUCUUCAAAGCAGGUGUAAAGAAGAACUCUAAAUUUAAGCAGUUUUAGAAACUGCAAAGAAAAGAACCAGUAAUAAAGCAACCUCUAACUUGGUGAUCACUAUUUCUCAUCGCGAGAACUCACCUCUCUGUGAAGUGCACCUGCACGUUCUCAGUGGGGACUUGAUGAACUCCAGUUAAGGUAAUGUAGAUUUUCACGAACUUAUCUGACUGAUCCCAUCCUAGUAACAAAAAAGGGACAUGAAUAAAGUCUCAUACUAUCUCUAGAACAGCAAAUGCAUAUUGCUCCUGAACCUGGAGACAGCUAAAUUCUAGUAAUAGAAACAUGGGAAAAAUUAAAAUACAAGCAACUUUCUAGAUGGAGAAAUUGAGCUUCAGAGCAGUUAUAUAAUCUAUCCAAAGUUAGGUAUCUAGCUUGUGGUAGAACUUCAAUUCAAACCCA